CGCACUCCACGUCCCAGCUCCACAUGGCCACCGCGUUCCACUUCUUCAGCGAGAACAUCUUGUCGGCAGCGCCCGCCUUGGCGCCCGAGGAGCCCGGAUAACAUUGAGGUGGGUGACCUGCGCUGCACUCUGCAAACCAUGGGCAUCCCUUUCACUGACGAAGAGUUCCAGGAAGCUCUGCAGAAAGUGACACUGGAAAUUGAUUGAUGCUGCAUGACCCCGGCCACUCCAGGCUAAAGGGAGUGAAGAGUAGCACAUGCAUGCGUGUCUGGAGGAGCAUCACCUGGCAUCAUGAGUCAAAAGCGUCCAGCAAGUGAUAGUGGAGUGCCUAGCAGUAGCAGUACCACUAGCAGCAAGAAAACCAGGAAAACCAUUAGUUUGGGUUACUAAAUUAGACAUUUUAAAGCAUUUUGAUGCAGGCGAGCAUGCAGUAGACAUUGGCAUCACUCUAGGUCUUACUCCGACCACUGUGAGAACAAUUCGGAAUAAUGCCGAAAAGAUCAGGGCUAGUGCUUGGCGUGUAACACCACUCAGUGCUACUACAAGAAGUUGAUCAAGAAGUAGUUUGCUGGAAAACAUGGAGAGUCUUCUCUCACUGUGGAUAGAGGACCAAACUAGAAGAACAUACCUCUAAGUUUGCUAGUGAUAUAAGCUAAGGCAAAAAGUUUGUAUGACAAUUUGAAAAGAGACCAAGGUGAAGGAUCACAGACAGAGACUUUCACAGCAAGUUGGGGAUGGUUUGAUCAGUGAAAAAGGCACUUCUACCUGCAUAACAUCAAGAUGUCCGGUGAGGCAGCUAGUGCUGAUACUGCAGCAGCUAAAAAAUUCCCCAACUAUUUCAAGAAAAUAAUUGUGGAAGGUGGCUAUUCCCCUAAACAAGUCUUCAAUGUUGAUGAAAUGGACCUUUACUGGAAGAGGAUGCCUGAGUGAACUUACAUAUCCCGAGAGGAGAAGACAGCGCCCGGAUUUAAAGCAGCUAAAGAUGAUCUAACCUUGCUUUUAGGUGAUAAUGCUGCCGGAGACAUGAAGAUGAAACCACUGACAGUGUACCAAUCUGAAACACCACACACACUCAAGGGAUUUUCAAAGGAACAACUUCCGGUCAUUUGGAGAUCCAAAAAGGAGGCAUGGAUAACUGGAGCUAUUUUUUCAGAAUGGAUGACUCUGUAUGCUGUCCCUGCAUGGAAGGAAUACCGUGCCAAAGAAAAUCUUGAUUUCAAGAUUUUAUUGCUUAUUGAUAAUGCACCGGCACAUCAACUCAACCUAGAUGACCUGUGCAAAAACGUCAAAGUUGCCUUUCUGCCACCUAACACCACAUCACUCAUCCAACCCAUGGACCAAGGAGCCAUCACUGCAUUUAAGAUGGCUUUUUUAUUACUUAUGCCAUACUUUCGACCAGCUCAUCAGAGGCACUGGUGGGGAAGGCAAACCUGCUAUUCAGCAAUUUUGGGGUGACUACAACAUCCUGAAGUUCAUCAAUAACAUUGGUGAGUCCUGGGCUGAAGUUACUCAGGUAUACAUGAAUGUUGUGUGGGGGAAGCUGUGGCCUGAAUGUGUCAAUGACUUAAAAGUAUUUAAAGAUGUUGUCUCUGCUAUGAAGAAAGAUAUCUUCGGCUUGGCCAAGAAAGCAGGUUUUGAUGAGGUGGAAGAAGCCGACGUUACACAACUUCUUUAAUCACACAGAGAAGAACUAACCAAUGAAGAACUGAUGCAACUAGAGGUGACAAGAGCAAUGGAAGAAGAGGGCCAAGAAGUAGAAGAACCACCAACCCAUCGAAAUUUGACUGCCAAACAUCUUUCUGAAGCUUUCCAAGUGAUUGGAGCUGUCUUGCAAAUCCUGAGUGAUGACGAUCCUGACAGGGAACACAGCUCCAAAGUGAUUAGGGGAGUUGGUCAUCUAAUGACUUGCAAUAAAGAAAUUUACCAAGAAAAAAAAGGGAAAGCAAAACAACAAUCUCUAGAUGUGUUUUUCCGAGUUCAGAAAGUUCAGCAAGAGGAGCAGCCGGACAGUCCACCCUCUUCUAGUCUCUGACUCCAUCACCUCAACCAAGCUUCAUACUCAGCAAUGAUGAUUGUAGUAUUAGAUUGUUUCUUUAAAAUUGUUUAAAACUUAUACCUGUAUUAAAUUGCUUGUUUAAAAUUGUUUAAAAUGUAUAUAAUGCCUUUUGUCUGGCAAAAAAAUUUUUCCCUGGAACCUAACCCCCCCAUUUACAUUAAUUCUUGUGGGGAAAUUGGAUUCGCUUAACAUCAUUUCACUUAAAGUCGCAUUUUUCAAGAACAUAACUACAACGUUAAGUGAGGCGUUACUGUACUGUUCUUUCCCCUUGUUACCCUCAUCUAGAGACUCUCAGUAGGUCUGUUGCUCACUUCCUCUUGGACCUUUGAGCACGUGUAUACAUUCUUGACAUAUAGUGCAACACCACCUCCUUUUUCUCCAUUCCUAUCCUUUUGGAACAAGCUAUAUCCCUCAGUGCUGGUACUCCAAUCAUGGGCGUUGUCCCACCAAGUCUCUGUGAUGCCAAUUAAGUCAUAAUUUUCUUCAUACAACAUGAGUUCCAGUUCAUCCUGCUUGUUUCCCAUACUCCUGGCAUUUGUAUACAGGCAUCGAAGAUUCACUAGCUCAUAUUUCAUAUUUAAAUUAUCAGGUUUUCUGUAGGUUUAAAGAAAAAAGUAUGCUUCCAAAUUAUCAAACUUGAUAAUUUUUGUUUGUUCCUGCUCAAGCCAAGAACAUUCUUGAGUAGCAGGAAGCUAUUUUCAUACAAAGCAAAUUCUUAAUUUCUAAGCUUCAUCCAGGUCCUCAUUUUCUAUACAGGAAACAUUUUGCAGGUUGAAACACUUGAAUAUAUUGUUAUGGCCACUUUUCCUUGCUUUAAGAUAUCACAUGUGUGGAGCUUUGGUAUUUUACUUCUGUAAAGUUUUCAUGAAAUUGAAUGGUAAUGCUUAACAUGAGAGCAAAAAGUGUGUGAUUUUUUGUUAGCAUGCUUGCCUUGCUAGUUCACAUUCAUUGCACCAGAAUGUGAUAUAUAGGAAAUAGGAAUUGUAUACAUGAACUAUUAAAAAUAAAAAUGAAUAAUUUUUAGUUUUGGUCAAUAGUACAUAACUAUUAAAAAUACUGGAUCAAUCAUUA